AACCAGGACUAAACCAGGACUAAACCAGGUCUAAACCAGGUCUAAACCAGGACUAAACCAGGACUAAACAAGGUCUAAACCAGGUCUAAACCAGGACUAAACCAGGUCUAAACCAGGACUAAACCAGGACUAAACCAGGACUAAACCAGGUCUAAACCAGGUCUAAACCAGGACUAAACCAGGUCUAAACCAGGACUAAACCAGGACUAAACCAGGACUAAACCAGGACUAAACAAGGUCUAAACCAGGUCUAAACCAGGUCUAAACCAGGUCUAAACCAGGACUAAACCAGGACUAAACAAGGUCUAAACCAGGACUAAACCAGGACUAAACCAGGACUAAACCAGGUCUAAACCAGGUCUAAACCAGGAGUAAACCAGGAGUAAACCAGGUCUAAACCAGGUCUAAACCAGGUCUAAACCAGGACUAAACCAGGUCUAAACCAGGACUAAACCAGGACUAAACCAGGACUAAACCAAGACUAAACCAGAUCUAAACCAGGACUAAACCAGGACUAAACCAGGACUAAACCAGGAC
ensembl:lncRNA